rnacentral:lncRNA from 1 species
UCUUCCCUUCCCUUGGUGGUAGACCUAGAUUUUUUUCUCCUCAGAAGCUCUUUUCUAGGCAAGACAUGAAAUCAGAACCCCUCAGUUUUACUCACUUGUAAUUUGUUUACACUCACUCUAAACAAAGCAAUAAUAUCCAUGAAAAGAUAGGUUUGAAAGGCUAGAAACUUAGUACUAACACACGUUGAAGUACGCAAUUAUUACAAUUUAAAAUAUCCUUCUGCACACUAUGGUCAAAUGCCUCCUGGGGCAUGGUGGCCACUCUUUGGGAAACACUGUGCUAAAGGAAUCAGCAAAAAUGUGUCUGGAAUAGUGAAAGUGAUUCCUUUUCAUAGUUGUAAAUAUAUUCCAGUGGAACAUUUGACAACUGAAGUAACUCCAUGGCCUCAAUUCACUUCUUUCUUUCUUUCCUCCCUCCUUCUUUUUCUUGCUUUCUUUCCUUUUUCUGGGCUUUCUUCUCUCUGUCCUCCCCUUUUCACUGAUUUCCUUGUAGUUGCCAAGAACAAUGCCACAUUUAUCAUCACCAUAGACCUUGAGAUUAGUUUCUUGUCUGCUUCUUGAGGGCAGGGACCAUAUGAUAUCACAUUUAUCAUCACCAUAGACUUUCAGGUUAGUUUCUUGUCUGCUUCUUGAGGGCAGGGACUAUGCUUGAGCUACAUGGUAUCCUCAGAAGCUGCCGCAAUGCCUAGCCCAGGGAAGGACUUCAGAAAAGCUAUGCUAGGUGCAUAGACACUGUCCCUGAAGUCACAGCACUCUGGACUUACUAGGAGAAACGGACUGUAAACCACAAGUGGGAAAUGCUGGGAUCUGGGCAUGCACAGGCUCCAGUGGUGAGACAAAUCGGUGAGGAGUGGUCUUUGGUGCCUUUAUGAAGGAGACUUGAGCUCCAUCAUGAAGAAUGAACAGGUGAAAGAGAAGGACGUUCAAGGUUGCAAGAAAGCUCAAGUAGCCUAUGGAGAGGAUGCAAGGCUUCCAGCUGAUGCCCUCAGCCAGGCUCAGUAGCAGCCAGAACUAGCCUACCAACGAACCUGCUGAUCAUGUGCAUAAGCCACCUUGAACGUCGAUCCUCCUGCCUGGUGGAGCCAUCCCAGCUGAUGCCACAUGAAGCAGACACAAGCUGUCCCUACUAAGCUCUGCUCAAGUUGGAUAUUCAUGAGUGAAAUAAAUGACUGUUACUAAGUAAUUAAUUUUUGGGUGGCUG